rnacentral:rRNA from 1 species
CCUACGGGAGGCAGCAGUAGGGAAUCUUGCACAAUGGGCGAAAGCCUGAUGGAGCAACGCCGCGUGGGUGAAGAAGGUCUUCGGAUCGUAAAACUCUGUUGUUAGAGAAGAAAGUGCGUGAGAGUAACUGUUCACGUUUCGACGGUAUCUAACCAGAAAGCCACGGCUAACUACGUGCCAGCAGCCGCGGUAAUACGUAGGUGGCAAGCGUUAUCCGGAUUUAUUGGGCGUAAAGGGAACGCAGGCGGUCUUUUAAGUCUGAUGUGAAAGCCUUCGGCUUAACCGGAGUAGUGCAUUGGAAACUGGGAGACUUGAGUGCAGGAGAGGAGAGUGGAACUCCAUGUGUAGCGGUGAAAUGCGUAGAUAUAUGGAAGAACACCAGUGGCGAAGGCGGCUCUCUGGUCUGUAACUGACGCUGAGGUUCGAAAGCGUGGGUAGCAAACAGGAUUAGAUACCCUAGUAGUC